rnacentral:rRNA from 1 species
UGAACUGUGGGUAGGGGUGAAAGGCCAAUCAAACUCGGAAAUAGCUGGUUCUCCCCGAAAUAUAUUUAGGUAUAGCCUCGGGCGGUCUCUGUUGGAGGUAGAGCACUGAAUGGGCUAGGGGCCUCACCAGGGUUACCGACCCCAAUCAAACUCCGAAUGCCAUCAAGAGUAGCCCCGGGAGUCAGACUGCGAGUGAUAACAUUCGUAGUCAAAAGGGAACAACCCAGACCGCCGGCUAAGGUCCCAAAUUCCAUGCUAAGUGGGAAAGGAUGUGGGAGCGCAUUGACAACCAGGAGGUUGGCUUAGAAGCAGCACCCUUUAAAGAAAGCGUAAUAGCUCACUGGUCUAGUGAACCUGCGCCGAAAAUGUAACGGGGCUAAAGCA